AAUGAAUAAACAUUUUCAAAAAACUCUACUCCUCCUCUUCUUCCUCGCCGAGUGUUUCAUCCUCAACAACUCCAUCGUCUUCCCAAGGGCUAGCCAUCGGAUUUCAGCUACUAACAGGAGCUCAUGUCAGGGAAUUAGGUGAUGUGGAACACAUACAUUUGGUGAAAGGAUUGGACUAUGCCUUACUUGACAAAAUUAGAAGUGAGAUUGAUAAGAAACCCGAAGUUCGCGAAGAGACUGAUGGAAAGUCUAGUUUUCGGCGACGCAAUUAGUUUCGCUCUUCCAUCACAUUUGCUAUUGGUGGUGGUGCUUGUGGUUCCAUUGUCUACCAUUGUUUCUUGCUUUGUAGAAUGAGGAAGAGCCUUCCAAAUUUUAUUCACUCUCUCUCCCCUAUCUUUUCUAGUUCCCUCCGUGAGAGCCGAUUGAGGUGGUAUGGUCAUGUGCAAUGGAGACCUAUGGACGCCCCAGUAAGAAAGAGUGAUCAGAUUCAUUUACAGAGAACUAGAAAAGGUAGGGGAAGGCCAAAGAUGACUAUUAACGAAGUAGUGCGAAACGAUAUGAAAACCGUAGGGCUUGACUCUAGUCUGACUUCAGAUAGAGUUACGUGGAGGACAAAGACCCGUGUUGCCGACCCCCUAUAGGGGAUGUUCCCAUGAUGUGUUCUUGUAUACUGCUAUAAUUCUUCUUUUAUCCCCAAAUCUCUUUAACCGUUCCUUUAUGCUUAUUUACUUUUACUUAUUGGAUCCAUGUAGCCUACUCCAUUCAGUUGGGAUAAUGUUAUGAUUGUUGUUGUUGUUGUUGUUUAAA